AGUUUUCGCUUAUCGGGAAGGGUGAGAAUCUUCGACCAAGGUUCGAAUCGAGCGAAAGCGAAAUAACGCUGCUAAAGCAGCGGCCCGAAGGGUGAGGAGUGAAGCGACGAAUAAUCCUUCCCCCACCACCA
rnacentral:sRNA from 1 species